rnacentral:snoRNA from 1 species
GCGCUGCCUUUGAGCCGCACUGCACAGCGGCGCUGGGGUCAGGCUGCAGCACCAGAGCUUGUGCUUGCGAAUAACUGCUCCCUCCCAGGUCUUCGGGCCACAGUG